rnacentral:rRNA from 1 species
GACGAACGCUGGCGGCGUGCCUAACACAUGCAAGUCGAACGGAGUUUCCAGCAAUAGAUUCUUAGUGGCGAACGGGUGAGUAACGCGUAGACAACCUACCUUCUAGAUGGGGACAACACUGCGAAAGUGGUGCUAAUACCGAAUGUUGUGUAGAAAAUGCAUAUUUUCUAUCCUAAAGAUGGCCUCUAUUUAUAAGCUAUCGCUAGAAGAUGGGUCUGCGUCUGAUUAGCUAGUUGGUGAGGUAAUGGCUCACCAAGGCGACGAUCAGUAGCCGGUCUGAGAGGAUGAACGGCCACACUGGGACUGAGACACGGCCCAGACUCCUACGGGAGGCAGCAGUGGGGAAUCUUCCGCAAUGGACGAAAGUCUGACGGAGCAACGCCGCGUGAGUGAAGAAGGUUUUCGGAUCGUAAAACUCUGUUUUCAGGGACGAAUGUGCGUCGUGUAAAUAAUGCGAUGUAAUGACGGUACCUGAGUAGAAAGCCACGGCUAACUACGUGCCAGCAGCCGC